AUUGAACGCUGGCGGCAGGCCUAACACAUGCAAGUCGAGCGGCAGCGGAAAAGUAACUUGCUACUUUUGCCGGCGAGCGGCGGACGGGUGAGUAAUGCCUGGGAAACUGCCCAGUCGAGGGGGAUAACAGUUGGGAACGACUGCUAAUACCGCAUACGCCCUACGGGGGAAAGCAGGGGACCUUCGGGCCUUGCGCGAUUGGAUAUGCCCAGGUGGGAUUAGCUAGUUGGUGAGGUAAUGGCUCACCAAGGCGACGAUCCCUAGCUGGUCUGAGAGGAUGAUCAGCCACACUGGAGCUGAGACACGGUCCAGACUCCUACGGGAGGCAGCAGUGGGGAAUAUUGCACAAUGAGGGAAACCCUGAUGCAGCCAUGCCGCGUGUGUGAAGAAGGCCUUCGGGUUGUAAAGCACUUUCAGCGAGGAGGAAAGGUUGGUAGCUAAUAACUGCCAGCUGUGACGUUACUCGCAGAAGAAGCACCGGCUAACUCCGUGCCAGCCGCCGCCGUAA
rnacentral:rRNA from 1 species